rnacentral:rRNA from 1 species
UACGUAGGGGUCUAGCGUUGUCCGGAAUUAUUGGGCGUAAAGAGCUCGUAGGCGGUUUGUCGCGUCGGCUGUGAAAACUCGGGGCUCAACUCCGAGCUUGCAGUCGAUACGGGCAGACUAGAGUUCGGCAGGGGAGACUGGAAUUCCUGGUGUAGCGGUGAAAUGCGUAGAUAUCUGGAGGAACACCGGUGGCGAAGGCGGCAUCCUGGACCGAUACUGACGCUGAGGAGCGAAAGCCAGGGGAGCAAACGGG